rnacentral:rRNA from 1 species
AGCAGCCGCGGUAAUUCCAGCUCCAAUAGCGUAUAUUAAAGUUGUUGUGGUUAAAAAGCUCGUAGUUGAACCUUGGGCCUGGCUGGCCGGUCCGCCUCACCGCGUGUACUGGUCCGGCCGGGCCUUUCCCUCUGUGGAACCCCAUGCCCUUCACUGGGUGUGGCGGGGAAACAGGACUUUUACUUUGAAAAAAUUAGGGUGCUCCAGGCAGGCCUAUGCUCGAAUACAUUAGCAUGGAAUAAUAGGAUAGGACGUGUGGUUCUAUUUUGUUGGUUUCUAGGACCGCCGUAAUGAUUAAUAGGGACAGUCGGGGGCAUCAGUAUUCAAUUGUCAGAGGUGAAAUUCUUGGAUUUAUUGAAGACUAACUACUGCGAAAAGCAUUUGCCAAGGAUGUUUUCAUUAAUCAGGAACGAAAGUUAGGGGAUCGAAGACGAUCAGAUACCGUCGUAGUCUUAACCAUAAACUAUGCCGACUAGGGAUCGGACGAUGUUAUUUUUGACUCGU